rnacentral:rRNA from 1 species
UACAGAGGGGUGCAAGCGUUAAUCGGAAUUACUGGGCGUAAAGCGUGCGUAGACGGUUAUGUAAGUCAGAUGUGAAAUCCCCGGGCUUAACCUGGGAACUGCAUUUGUGACUGCAUGGCUGGAGUGCGGCAGAGGGGGAUGGAAUUCCGCGUGUAGCAGUGAAAUGCGUAGAUAUGCGGAGGAACACCGAUGGCGAAGGCAAUCCCCUGGGCCUGCACUGACGCUCAUGCACGAAAGCGUGGGGAGCAAACAGG